GACGAACGCUGGCGGCGUGCCUAAUACAUGCAAGUAGAACGCACAGUUUAUACCGUAGCUUGCUACACCAUAGACUGUGAGUUGCGAACGGGUGAGUAACGCGUAGGUAACCUCCCUGGUAGCGGGGGAUAACUAUUGGAAACGAUAGCUAAUACCGCAUAAUAUUAAUUAUUGCAUGAUAAUUAAUUGAAAGGUGCAAUUGCACCACUACCAGAUGGACCUGCGUUGUAUUAGCUAGUAGGUGAGGUAACGGCUCACCUAGGCGACGAUACAUAGCCGACCUGAGAGGGUGAUCGGCCACACUGGGACUGAGACACGGCCCAGACUCCUACGGGAGGCAGCAGUAGGGAAUCUUCGGCAAUGGACGAAAGUCUGACCGAGCAACGCCGCGUGAGUGAAGAAGGUUUUCGGAUCGUAAAGCUCUGUUGUAAGAGAAGAACGGGUGUGAGAGUGGAAAGUUCACACUGUGACGGUAUCUUACCAGAAAGGGACGGCUAACUACGUG
rnacentral:rRNA from 1 species